rnacentral:rRNA from 1 species
GAUGAACGCUGGCGGCGUGCCUAAUACAUGCAAGUCGAGCGAACAGACGAGGAGCUUGCUCCUCUGACGUUAGCGGCGGACGGGGGAGUAAAACGUGGAUAACCUACCUAUAAGACUGGGAUAACUUCGGGAAACCGGAGCUAAUACCGGAUAAUAUAUUUAACCGCAUGGUUCAAUAGUGAAAGACGGUUUUGCUGUCACUUAUAGAUGGAUCCGCGCCGCAUUAGCUAGUUGGUAAGGUAACGGCUUACCAAGGCAACGAUGCGUAGCCGACCUGAGAGGGUGAUCGGCCACACUGGAACUGAGACACGGUCCAGACUCCUACGGGAGGCAGCAGUAGGGAAUCUUCCGCAAUGGGCGAAAGCCUGACGGAGCAACGCCGCGUGAGUGAUGAAGGUCUUCGGAUCGUAAAACUCUGUUAUUAGGGAAGAACAAAUGUGUAAGUAACUAUGCACGUCUUGACGGUACCUAAUCAGAAAGCCACGGCUAACUACGUG